AGCGAACGCUGGCGGCAGGCCUAACACAUGCAAGUCGAACGGAUCCUUCGGGAUUAGUGGCGGACGGGUGAGUAACACGUGGGAACGUGCCCUUUGGUUCGGAACAACUCAGGGAAACUUGAGCUAAUACCGGAUGUGCCCUUCGGGGGAAAGAUUUAUCGCCAUUGGAGCGGCCCGCGUCUGCUUAGCUAGUGUGGGGGGUAAAGGCCCACCAAGGCGACGAUCAGUAGCUGGUAUGAGAGGAUGAUCAGCCACAUUGGGACUGAGACACGGCCCAAACUCCUACGGGAGGCAGCAGUGGGGAAUCUUGCGCAAUGGGCGAAAGCCUGACGCAGCCAUGCCGCGUGAAUGAUGAAGGUCUUAGGAUUGUAAAAUUCUUUCACCGGGGACGAUAAUGACGGUACCCGGAGAAGAAGCCCCGGCUAACUUCGUGCCAGCAGCCGCAGUAACAC
rnacentral:rRNA from 1 species